rnacentral:rRNA from 1 species
GGCUCAGGACGAACGCUGGCGGCGUGCCUAAUACAUGCAAGUCGAGCGGACAGAUGGGAGCUUGCUCCCUGAUGUUAGCGGCGGACGGGUGAGUAACACGUGGGUAACCUGCCUGUAAGACUGGGAUAACUCCGGGAAACCGGGGCUAAUACCGGAUGGUUGUUUGAACCGCAUGGUUCAAACAUAAAAGGUGGCUUCGGCUACCACUUACAGAUGGACCCGCGGCGCAUUAGCUAGUUGGUGAGGUAACGGCUCACCAAGGCAACGAUGCGUAGCCGACCUGAGAGGGUGAUCGGCCACACUGGGACUGAGACACGGCCCAGACUCCUACGGGAGGCAGCAGUAGGGAAUCUUCCGCAAUGGACGAAAGUCUGACGGAGCAACGCCGCGUGAGUGAUGAAGGUUUUCGGAUCGUAAAGCUCUGUUGUUAGGGAAGAACAAGUACCGUUCGAAUAGGGCGGUACCUUGACGGUACCUAACCAGAAAGCCACGGCUAACUACGUGCCAGCAGCCGCGGUAAUACGUAGGUGGCAAGCGUUGUCCGGAAUUAUUGGGCGUAAAGGGCUCGCAGGCGGUUU